UACGUAGGGUGCGAGCGUUGUCCGGAAUUAUUGGGCGUAAAGAGCUCGUAGGCGGUCUGUCGCGUCUGCUGUGAAAGCCCGGGGCUCAACCCUGGGAGGCGGGUGGAUACUGUCGAGCUCGAGUCCGGAAGAGGCGAGUGGAAUUCCUGGUGUAGCGGUGAAAUGCGUAGAUAUCGGGAGGAACACCAGUGGCGAAGGCGACUUCCUGGCCUGUUCUUGACGCUGAGGCGCGAAAGCUAGGGGAGCAAACGGG
rnacentral:rRNA from 1 species